AUACGUAGGGGGCGAGCGUUGUCCGGAAUUACUGGGCGUAAAGGGUGCGUAGGCGGCUUGGCAAGUCGGAUGUGAAAUACUCUUGCUUAACGAGAGGGGUGCAUACGAAACUGCUGAGCUUGAGUGUAGGAGAGGAAAGCGGAAUUCCUAGUGUAGCGGUGAAAUGCAUAGAUAUUAGGAGGAACACCAGUGGCGAAGGCGGCUUUCUGGACUACAACUGACGCUGAGGCACGAAAGCGUGGGGAGC
rnacentral:rRNA from 1 species